rnacentral:rRNA from 1 species
UUUUCCUACGGGGGGCAGCAGUGGGGAAUAUUGCACAAUGGGGGAAACCCUGAUGCAGCGACGCCGCGUGAGCGAAGAAGUAUUUCGGUAUGUAAAGCUCUAUCAGCAGGGAAGAAAAUGACGGUACCUGAGUAAGAAGCUCCGGCUAAAUACGUGCCAGCAGCCGCGGUAAUACGUAGGGGGCAAGCGUUAUCCGGAUUUACUGGGUGUAAAGGGAGCGUAGACGGCAUAGCAAGUCUGAAGUGAAAGCCCAAGGCUCAACCAUGGGACUGCUUUGGAAACUGUUAAGCUAGAGUGCUGGAGAG